AUGUAUGAUGACAUAAUGUCCCCUCCAAUUAAUGACAAGGAUAUAAAACACCUGUAUUUAGCAGAGCAGAUGCUGCUUUUAUGGUUAGAUGCGCAGAUGAAAUUGACUUCUAAAGGACCAUCUAUAACUUACUUCCCUAUUAUUUGUUUCUAUAUUUGUUUCGUUAUGUAUGUUGUAGGUGCAGGAGGAAAUUUAACCCUGGAUUUCACACCUGCACAGCCAAAAGUCAGAUGUUGGAUGAGACAUGAGAACCUGGAAGAGUCUGGGGAGCUGGGAGCAGAGCAACCAUGGUGGAAUAGAGGCAAAGGAAAUGAACAAGGUCUUCAAUUCCCUGUGUCACUCCUUGCUGUGUCCCCUGGACCCUAAGGUGCAAUGCUCUUGACUACCACUGGGCAUCAACAAAUGGAGCUACCUUAACAUAUCAUCUUGGGGACCUGGUGACACAUCUGUGUUGUGACAGCAUCACGAGGAGCCAGUGUUUCAUCUUCAGUUUGGAUGAGCUGGUAAAACCAAGAGCUUUAGAGGCAAGGAGGCCUGUGAAUCAAAUCUCACUUGUUUAAACCUAGGAGAGUUAUUUAAUCACUAUUUCCUCUGUUAAUUUGAGGUUUCUAUAGCUACCAAUUGAGUGCAGGUUGAGUAUCUCUGAUCGAAAUGCUUGAGAUGAGACGGUUCAGCGUUUGUAUUUUUUCAUAUGUUGGAAUAUUUCUAUAUACAUCAUGAAAUGUCUCGGGGAUGAGACCCAAAUCUAAAUGCAAAAUUUAUGUAUGUUUCAUAUGCAUUUUAUACAUAAAGCCUAAAGGUAAUUUUAUCCAAUAUUUUAAAUAAUUUUGCAUAUGAAAAAUAGUUUUGACUGCAACCUGUCAUGUGAAGUCAGGUGUGGAAUUUUCCACAUGUGACAUCACACCAGUGCUUAAAAACUUUCAGGUUUUGGAGCAUUGUGGAUUUCAGAUUUUUGGAUUAAGGAUGCUCCACCUGUGUGUGUCCUGACUACCUCUGAGGCCUGGCAAGCUGUGGUUCCUCCAUCUGCCCUCUGACUCCAUCAUCUUCCACUUCACUCAUGCUCACUUGGCUCCAUCCGCACUCACCCUGAUGGUUUGUUUUGUUUUGUUUUGUUUUUUGUUUGAGACGGAGUCUCGCUCUGUUGCCCAGGCUGGAGUGCAGUGGCGCAAUCUCGGCUCACUGCAAGCUCCGCUCCCCGGGUUCACGCCAUUCUCCCGCCUCAGCCUCCUGUGUAGCUGGGACUACAGGCGCCCACCACCACGCCCGGCUAAUUUUUUUUUUUUUUUUUUUUUGUAUUUUUAGUAGAGACGGGGUUUCACCGUGUUAGCCAGGAUGGUCUUGAUCUCUUGACCUCAUGAUCCGCCCGUCUCGGCCUCCCAAAGUGCUGGGAUUACAGGCGUGAGCCACCGCGCCCGGCCUCCCUGAUGAUUUUUAAGCAGGCCGGGCACAAUGGGAAGCUAGAGAAUUAUGACCCAAGUCAGGAAGAUAGUUGAAGCCGGCUCAUGCUGUGGGAUCUGAAGAGACCACCCUCUUCCCUGGGGCCUGUCUUUCCAGAGGCCUGAGGUCGAUUAGUCUUUGAGGGAAUUUUUGCAAAAAUGCUUGUCUUAGUUUCCUCAAGGUGCAGUACAAACUGCGGCAAACUUAGUGUCUUGAAGCAAUACAAAUUGGGCUGGGUGUGGUCGUUCAUGCUCGAAUCCCAGCAUUUUGGGAGGCCGAGGCAGGUGGAUCACUUGAGGUCAGGAGUUUGAGACCAGCCUGGCCAACAUGGCAAAACCCCGUCUUUACUGAAAAAACAAAAAUUAGUCAGGCAUGGUGGCCCAUGCCUAUGAUCCCAGCUACUCAGGAGGUAGGGGCAGGAGAAUCACUUCAACCUGGGAGGCAGAGGUUGCAGUGAGCCGGAUAGCGCCACUGCACUCCAGCCUGGGCGACAGAGCGAGACUCCGUCUCAAAAAAUAAAAAAUAAUAAAAAAAUAAAUAAAAAAAGGAAACAAUACAAUACAAAUUGAAUAUCUUAAGUUCUGACGUCUUCCUGGGCUAAAAUCAAUGCGUGGACAGGGCUGUGCUCCUUUCUGGGAGCCUUUGGGGAGAAAUCAUUUCCUUGUCCUUCUCAUUUGCUGGAGGCUUCCACACUUUUUGGCUCAUGGCCCAUUCCUCCUUCUUCAAACCCAGCAAUGCAGAACUGAGUCCUCCCCAUACUGUUGUCUCUGUGAUUUUCUCUUCUGUCUCCCUCCCUGUCCUUAUACCUUUAAGGACCUCAAUGAUUACAUUGAGUCCACCUGUAUAAUUCAGGUUGAUCUCUCUAUUUUAAGGUCAGAUGAUUAGCAACCUUAAUCCAUCUGCCACCUUAAUUCCCCCUUGGCAUAUAACCUAACCUAGUUAUAGCAUCCUGGGAUUAAGACAUGGUCUGCCUGGUGGAGUGGCUCAUGCCUGUAAUCCCAGCACUUUGGGAGGGGGAGGUGGGUGGAUAAUUUGAGGUCAGGAGUUCAAGAUCAGCUUAGCCAACAUGGUGAGACCCCAUCUCUACUAAAAAUACAAAAAUUAGCCAGGCGUGGUGGCAGACACCUGUAAUCCCAGCUACUGGGGAGGCGGAGGCAGGAGAAUCAUUUGAACCUGGGAGAUGGAGGUUGCAGUGAACUGAGAUCAUACCAUGGCACUCCAGCCUGGGUGACAGAGAGAAACUCUGUCAAAAAAAAAAAAAAAAAAGAAAAGAAAAGAAAAAAAAGAAAAGACAUGGUCAUCUCUAAAGAGGGGCAUGUUAUUUUGUUUAUCCCAUUAAUAAUGUCUAAUUUCCACUUUUUCUUCGACUCAGUCAACUCUCUAAUAUUCUUCCAAUACCUUAUUUUAAUUUUUUCUGUUAUGUGAACCCAUUAGUGUUGGUUACUUCUGUCUGGAUCAUUUCCCCCAAGAUAUAGCAGGUCCCUCUUGCUCUCCUUGUGUUUGUUAAAGUGUCACCUUCUCAAUGAGAUCUUCAGACAUAUUCUUGCCACACUCCAGGAUUCCUGAACCUCUUUACCCUAAUCAAUUAUUUUAUAGCUCUCGUCACCUUCUACCUUAUUAUAUAAUAUGUCAUACUUAUUUACUAUUAUAUUUUUUUCCAGUCUUCAGUCAUUUGAACAGUAUGUCUUUGACAUAACAGGUACUUAAUAGAUAAUUUGAUGAAUGACUGAAAAGUGUGGCUGUUAGGAUUAAAUACAAUGAACAGUAACGACUUGUGCCCAGCUCUUAAGACAUCUUCUGGCAAGUAGGAAGUGCUCAUGCAAUGUUCACUCUUAUUUCUAAUUCCCGACUAUCUCUGACUUCUAGACUUCUUCAUGCCAAAUCCUUCGGUCCAAAUUUGAGGAUAGCACAAAUGUUGCUAACAAGACCCAAGAAACUUAACUUUAAGUGUUUCUUUGGCUAGAAAGUAAACUUUAAUUCUUUGAAAGCCACAAAAAUCUUUUAAACAAGGCAGAAUUACCAUAUUGGCCUUGUCUUUCUGGAACUGUUUAGAAUGAAUGAACAAAUCAUGCAUUUAUGCACCAGAAAUUCGGUUUGCUUUUCCUUUAGAGUAACGGCUCUCUGCUCCUGAAUGUGAGAGGCCCCAUCAGCCGCCUCAAGAUUCCAGGCAACUGCAGCAGCUGUCACAAAGCAUCGUGUGGCAUUGAGGAAUGUGGUCAGAAAGCCGCUAAAUGAAAAAAGGGUCUCAGGAAGGCAAGAAGGAGGGAACGGCCCUAAGUGCCAUGUGAGGAAUGGGGCUUUUUCAAAUCAACUCCUCUAAAGAACCACUUCCCUGAAUCUGUUGAAAGUGUAAAGUUUUCACCCUGCAAAUCAGAGAAGUUCAAGUUUAUACUCUAGGUAAAGAAGGUUUCCUUAAAGUAGGCCAGCAGCUGCAGCUCUCAGAAGAAAAAGAGGAAGACAAUACAUUUUCUUGCUUCGGUUCUGCGGUGGCAGGUGCACACCAAGGGGCAUGGCCUCCAGAAGGAACAGGGGCUUGGCUGGAGAACUGUCAAUUAAUCAUCCAGGAGAAUGCCCUUGACAGCAGGGAGAAAACUCCCAUUCAUUUCCUCAGGAUUGUGCUGCGGCCACUAAAUGCAAUGUUUCUACAAAUAAGAAUUCAUCUGCUCCUGGCUCCGGGGGUCAUUUGUUUGCUCCUGUGUGUUGUGGAACAAGACCUGCUCUGCAUCCACACAGGCCUGUGCUGCGUCCUCGAACACAGUUGGUGCAUUCCCAUCUAGUUUUCCUCUUACUGUGCCCCAUUUUGAAUGUACCCCCUCCUCUCAUCUCGGCCUCAUGUAAAUUCUAUGCAUCCUUUACAACCCCACCAAGUUCCACUUCCUCCUGCAGCCACAUCUUUUGAUUUCUUUCCCCUUUACCCUAUUUUGUAAGUCAAGUGAUCAUGUAUUAUAUGUAUAAUGAUAAACAGUAAAGACCUGGCAUUAAAAAUGCCCCACUUUCCCGUUUACUAUCUGUACCACCUUGAGGAAGUAGUCACUUCACCUCUUUGAGCCUCUGGUUCCUUAUCUUUAAGGUGGGGAUUUCAUCUAAUUCAGAGUGGCCAUGAGGGUUGGAAGAGAUAACCUAUGAAAAUUCUCCCAGGCCUCUUUGGCCUCAUAAUUGCAAAGUAAAUAGCAGUUGAAUCUGAAACUACUGUCCUCAGGAUGGUUCAGACGCUAAACUAGAGUCUGGCAUUUUAAAAUCAUUUCUGUGAGGGUGGGCAGGGGGUGGGGG
rnacentral:lncRNA from 10 species